rnacentral:tRNA from 1 species
GGAUCCAUAAGCUCUAAAUGGUAAGAGCGCUCACUAAAUGAGAUGUUGAUGGUUCAAAUCCAUCUGGAUCCA